GUUUAUGGCCAUUCCACCCUGAUUGCACUGUAUCUGGUCUGAUCUCAGCAACUAAACAGGGCCUGGCCUGGUAAAUGCUCAGGUGGGAGAAAGCA
rnacentral:rRNA from 1 species